rnacentral:rRNA from 1 species
GAGUUUGAUCAUGGCUCAGGAUGAACGCUGGCGGUAUGCCUAACACAUGCAAGUCGAACGAAAGUUUUUAACUUUAGUGGCGAACGGGUGCGUAACACGUGAGAAUCUGCCCUUGGGAGGAGGAUGUUGUUUAUUUUAACAUAACACUCCAUAUGUCGAGAGAUAAAAUAUUUAUUGCCUAAGGAUGAGCUCACGCCUGAUUAGCUAGUUGGUGAGGUAAUAGCUCACCAAGGCCACGAUCAGUAGCUGGUUUGAGAGAAUGAUCAGCCACACUGGGACUGAGACACGGCCCAGACUCCUCUAGGAGGCAGCAGUGAGGAAUCUUCCGCAAUGGGCGAAAGCCUGACGGAGCAAUACCGCGUGAAGGAUGAAGGAUUUUGGUCUGUAAACUUCUUUUUUCAAGAAAGAAAUUUUGACGGUACUUGAAGAAUAAGCAUCGGCUAACUCCGUGCCAGCAGCCGCGGUAAUACGGGGGAUGCAAGCGUUAUCCGGAAUCAUUGGGUGUAAAGCGCCUGUAGGUUGUUUGAUAAGUCUGUUGUCAAAGCCUAGGGCUUAACCCUAGAAAAGCGAUGGAAACUACCAGACUAGAGUAUGGAAGGGGUAGAGGGAAUUUCUAGUGUAGCGGUGAAAUGCGUAGAUACUAGAAAGAACACCAGAGGCGAAAGCGCUCUACUGGGCCAGUACUGACACUCAGAGGCGAAAGCUAGGGUAGCAAAAGGGAUUAGAUACCCCCGUAGUCCUAGCCGUAAACGAUGGAUACUAGAUGUUGUGGGUUACUUACAACAGAUGUUGUAGAUUAACAUGCAGUGACGAAGCUAACGCGUUAAGUAUCCCACCUGGGGAGUACGCUCGCAAGGGUGAAACUCAAAGGAAUUGACGGGGGUCUGCACAAGCGGUGGAGCAUGUGGUUUAAUUCGAUGCAACGCGAAGAACCUUACCAGGAUUUGACAUACUACAAAUCUUUUUGAGAAAAAAGAGCGCCUUCGGGAAUGUAGAUACAGGUGGUGCAUGGCUGUCGUCAGCUCGUGUCGUGAGAUGUUGGGUUAAGUCCCGCAACGAGCGCAACCCUUAUUUUUAGUUACUAACUUGUUAGGUCCUCUAGAAAGACCGCCGGUGAUAAACCGGAGGAAGGUGUGGAUGACGUCAAGUCAUCAUGCCCCUUACACCCUGGGCUACACACGUACUACAAUGCUACGGACAAAGGGCGGCAAACUCGCGAGAGCUAGCAAAUCCCAUAAACCGUGGCUCAGUUCAGAUCGUAGGCUGCAACUCGCCUACGUGAAGUAGGAAUCGCUAGUAAUCGCAGGUCAGCAUACUGCGGUGAAUACGUUCCCGGGCCUUGUACACACCGCCCGUCACACCAUGGAAGUUGGCCAUGCCCGAAGUCGUUACUCCAACCCUUGUGGAGGAGGACGCCGAAGGUGGGGCUAAUGACUGGGGUGAAGUCGUAACAAGGUAACC